rnacentral:tRNA from 1 species
GGGCGCAUAGCUCAGCGGGAGAGCGCCUGCUUCACACGCAGGAGGUCCGAGGUUCAAGUCCUCGUGCGCCCACCC